GGGAACUGGUCACCUCAGCAGCUGAACUCCUCCUCCAGCCCUGCGGCUCCCUCCUCUCCAACAGGGACCCUCCUGAUUUUCAUCCACUUGGCUCCCCAAGUUGCUGCUCGACCGCUCUCUGACCUGGAUUCACUGAGGACACAUCAGGGCCUUUGCCACGGGGUCCAUGGAGUGGCCGGAGCCCGGGGCUGGGUGAGUGUGGGGUGGGUCUGAAGGGGAGGAUGUGCAUCUAGAGACCAGGCCAGCCCCUGCAGGAUUUUCUGAUGUCAAAUCGCCUGUCCUGUGCCUGAGCCCCAUCGCCUUAGCAGAAUGAGGACACGCGCCUCCCCUGGGCUUCCCCAGCGUGGCCUGAGUGAGUGUCUCCCCAGCUGCAGUGUUUGCAAUCAGCAGGUCAAGAGGGGACCCUCCUGCCCGGCUCCCAUGGCGCUGCUGCUCCUUCUA
rnacentral:lncRNA from 1 species